rnacentral:lncRNA from 10 species
AGCCUUCCAAGAGGAAGAAUUCAUUUUAGGCCACAAGGUUACACACUAUUGGACCCUGGAGGAGAUUUUGCAAGAGACUCCGGAGGCAGGUGAAGGCUAGAAAGGGCAACAGGAGAGCAGUGUUGGGAUGGAAUCCCAGCCAGACUCAGAAGGAAGCCCAAGGCCUGAAAGGCUUUGCAAUCCCCAGGAGGAGGGAGAAUGUUUUCUGCAAGGCAACAUAUUUACAGCUCCCGGUCUUUUUCUGGAGGCUAGAAAGUAGACAUGAGGAUGAUGAGUCAUCUUCAACUGCACCAAUGAGGGUGUAAACAUGGAAUCCGUUUCUUGAAGAGCAUUUCAUACAACGCCCCUGAGGAACACACUUUGGAAAAUGUUCAUCCCUGUCCAACUACCAUGUUUGCGUGAGUUUAUGAUCUGCCUGCCGUUCAUCAGCCUUUGUUAUCAGAUGAGGAAACCAAGACACAGAGAAGAUAAACAACUUGCCUGAAGUCACAAAUGGCACUACAGUUGUGAUGAGGCAAUUGCAACAUUUGAAAAGACCCCAGGGAGUUUGCAUUAAAUGCGUUUCACAAGAGUGAAUGAUGGAACAGAACACCAUGUACAAAGACACAGUCAUCCAACACCCAAGCACAAAUGGCACAAGUUAAACAUGUGACGGCUUGAUGUAUGACAGGU